rnacentral:lncRNA from 1 species
GAAGGACUUAGCAUUAUAAUAUGAUAAAACAGUUUAAGGAUGUAAAUAAAGUCAUAGUGUUUACAGUCAUCCCAAAAGAGGCUAUAAAAUUAAAACUUUAUAUACAUAGAAGUCUCUCAAAAUAAAGGAAAUGCCUAAGAACAAUCCUAAGAGCUAGGUGUAUCUUCUUCAUUCUCCAACGCUUGUUCCAAGGGUACAUCAUCAGCUUCUGCUCACAUCCAAAGUUGGAUGAUCAUUGCAAAAAAAAAGACAAGCACAUACAAAGCAUAAACAAACAAGCAAGUGUAAGCUAGGUUUCUAAAAGCAUACAAGUUAAUUCAAAUCAAUCUAAUAUAAUAUAAAACAUUCACACAUAUAAACAUGCAAGUCAACAUUUUCCAUAAGCAUAGAAAUUAUAUUCAUACAAGUAACUAAAUCCUGUUAUAACUCACUAGACUCGUCCAGACUUAGAAUGAAUGUCGAUCUGGGGCAGGUUGUGCACUUGUGGUGGCCUCUACUACCUUGCAAGGCCAUUGACAAUGGGUUUCACCCUAUAACACACAAGGUUAGUCCUUUACCGCGCAAUAGGCCUUCCAAGAAGCGCCUACCCUAGGACCUCCCACUACUCUCACCACAUGCGUCAAUCCUCUCUAAGUGAGAAUGAAAGACCAUUAGAGUGUUGGGAUAACCCCCAUAUGAAAGCCUCUUACAUUCAUUUUAAACACUAAGUUGAUCUCACCUAGAGAUCUUAUUUUGAUACCAUUCACAACAUUCAAUCAAUUCAUAAUCCCCUCUUGUUUCAUCAAACAUAAAAUUUUAUAGUCAUCUAAGUGUAUUCAUGCUAUAUUAACUCAUAACAAACCCAUAUAUCAUCAGCCAAACAAAGCAGAAGAAGAAGGAAUCAAAACAGGGUGUUCCACAACUGGGCUAUGAAUGUUUCCACACCCUGUGGAUUUAGCUUGAGAAAACAAAAGGCAAAACAAAGAGUUUCACAAGUGAGUUGUGGUUUUUAUCACAACAUGUGGAUAUACGUCAGGAAUUGCAAAAUUGAAACAGAGAAAUCCACAAGUAGAUUGUGGAUUUUUCCAUAGGUUGUGGAAUUGUGCAGAAUAGAAACUAACCUCUCAUAGAUACACUUUAAAUCUCAACUUGGACACUUUCCUCCUACAUUCUAUUGACUCUAAGAUCUCCUAUGCACCAAGCUACAUGGAAAAACACUCUCCUAACUCAUAUUUGCUACCUCAAUCCAAUUUAAUUACUAUAAACCACUAAAACUCAAUUAAACCUAAUUCUAUACUUUUUAACCCAAAUUUUCUGCAACUAACAGCUUGAACAAGUUUUAAUAGACUUAACAACAGUCCCCAAACCAUCACAUUUAUUCCAUACCACUUAAUUCAUAAUCUCACUAAUGAAACCCUUGAAAAUGAACUAAAAAUCAUGCAAAACACACUGAAAGGCUAACAACCAGUUCUACCUCAGAAUUUUACUGUCAUAACACUCAAACAAGUCUUAUUCUGCUUACUAAGGUUGCCCCAACAGCCCAUUCCUACCCAGAACUCCUUUCCCUCAAUUUCACUACCUCACUUCCUCUCAAAUGACUUAGAACUCUACCUAAACACUUGGCUUUUGAUCAAAUUAACAAUAUAACAAAAUUUUCCUCCUCAACCACUUCUAACAUGUCCAAUCCAAGCAAUUUAACACAUUCACAUUCAGUUCAUAGUAUCGCACAUGAUUCAUAUCAAUUCAUAAGCAUCAAUUUAAGAUUUCAUAGUUUGACAUACAAGACAUGCUUAACUCAACAUGCAGAAUUUUCAGUUCAUAGUUCACAUAUUCAUAAUACACAUAGAUCCCAAGCAAAAUCCCCAAAUUCAUGCAACCAUAAAUUCCCAAAAUCAGAAAGGAAGGAAAAACCUAAGCUUCCCUUACCUCUAGUCAAGUAGUGCAGUAAACAAAACCCCUUUUUUUAGCUCAAGAAAACCCUCAAGCACGCCCCUUUUCACUUUCGGAAGUGCUUGACCACCUAUGGAUCAUCAAUUGAUGAUGGAGAGUAAACUUUAGAACUUAAUCGAAACUAAAAUUGAAAGGAUGCACAAUGGGUUACAUGCAAUCAAAUUUAUUUCAUGAUCAAAGCCCUAAAAUGAACUGAAAAGAGGAAAAACACUUACCAGAGGAAGAACGCUAAAUUGAUCGGUGGAAAACGAUGAUCUUGUCUCACAGAUUGUUUAGACGGUGUUCGUUUGGAACAAAGAUGAAGUAGGAAAGAAAAAUUCUAGAGAGAAAGAGGAGAAAAAUAGAAGCUUGUGUUUUUAGAGAGAUGGAGAUUUUGAGAAAUGAAGGGAUG